GUACUCUCUUUGGCAGCACAUAGACUAAAAUUGUAACAAUACAUAGAAGAUUAGCACAGGCCCUGAACAAGGAUAACAUGCAAUUGCAUGGAGCAGUCCACAUUUAA
ensembl:snRNA U6 U6 spliceosomal RNA